CGGAGCGUGGCGCAGCCCGGUAGCGCACCUGCUUUGGGAGCAGGGGGUCGUGGGUUCAAAUCCCACCGCUCCGA
rnacentral:tRNA from 1 species